rnacentral:rRNA from 1 species
UACAGAGGGUGCGAGCGUUAAUAGGAAUUACUGGGCGUAAAGCGUGCGUAGGCGGUCGUGUAAGACGGGUGUGAAAGCCCCGGGCUCAACCUGGGUAUUGCAUUCGAGACUGCACGGCUGGAGUGCGGAAGAGGGAAGCGGAAUUUCCGGUGUAGCGGUGAAAUGCGUAGAUAUCGGAAGGAACAUCAGUGGCGAAAGCGGCUUCCUGGUCCAGCACUGACGCGCAGGCACGAAAGCGUGGGGAGCAAACAGG